AUGAACGCUAGCUACAGGCUUAACACAUGCAAGUCGAGGGGCAGCAUGGUCUUAGCUUGCUAAGACUGAUGGCGACCGGCGCACGGGUGAGUAACACGUAUCCAACCUGCCGUCUACUCUUGGACAGCCUUCUGAAAGGAAGAUUAAUACAAGAUGGCAUCAUGAGUCCGCAUGUUCACAUGAUUAAAGGUAUUCCGGUAGACGAUGGGGAUGCGUUCCAUUAGAUAGUAGGCGGGGUAACGGCCCACCUAGUCUUCGAUGGAUAGGGGUUCUGAGAGGAAGGUCCCCCACAUUGGAACUGAGACACGGUCCAAACUCCUACGGGAGGCAGCAGUGAGGAAUAUUGGUCAAUGGGCGAGAGCCUGAACCAGCCAAGUAGCGUGAAGGAUGACUGCCCUAUGGGUUGUAAACUUCUUUUAUAAAGGAAUAAAGUCGGGUAUGGAUACCCGUUUGCAUGUACUUUAUGAAUAAGGAUCGGCUAACUCCGUGCCAGCAGCCGCGGUAAUACGGAGGAUCCGAGCGUUAUCCGGAUUUAUUGGGUUUAAAGGGAGCGUAGAUGGAUGUUUAAGUCAGUUGUGAAAGUUUGCGGCUCAACCGUAAAAUUGCAGUUGAUACUGGAUAUCUUGAGUGCAGUUGAGGCAGGCGGAAUUCGUGGUGUAGCGGUGAAAUGCUUAGAUAUCACGAAGAACUCCGAUUGCGAAGGCAGCCUGCUAAGCUGCAACUGACAUUGAGGCUCGAAAGUGUGGGUAUCAAACAGGAUUAGAUACCCUGGUAGUCCACACGGUAAACGAUGAAUACUCGCUGUUUGCGAUAUACAGCAAGCGGCCAAGCGAAAGCGUUAAGUAUUCCACCUGGGGAGUACGCCGGCAACGGUGAAACUCAAAGGAAUUGACGGGGGCCCGCACAAGCGGUGGAGCAUGUGGUUUAAUUCGAAGCAACGCGAAGAACCUUACCAAGUCUUGACAUCCUUCUGACCGGAACUUAACCGUUCCUUCCCUUCGGGGCAGAAGUGACAGGUGGUGCAUGGUUGUCGUCAGCUCGUGCCGUGAGGUGUCGGCUUAAGUGCCAUAACGAGCGCAACCCUUGUUGUCAGUUACUAACAGGUUCCGCUGAGGACUCUGACAAGACUGCCAUCGUAAGAUGUGAGGAAGGUGGGGAUGACGUCAAAUCAGCACGGCCCUUACGUCCGGGGCUACACACGUGUUACAAUGGGGGGUACAGAGGGCCGCUACCACGCGAGUGGAUGCCAAUCCCCAAAACCUCUCUCAGUUCGGACUGGAGUCUGCAACCCGACUCCACGAAGCUGGAUUCGCUAGUAAUCGCGCAUCAGCCACGGCGCGGUGAAUACGUUCCCGGGCCUUGUACACACCGCCCGUCAAGCCAUGGGAGCCGGGGGUACCUGAAGUGCGUAACCGCGAGGAGCGCCCUAGGGUAAAACUGGUGACUGGGGCU
rnacentral:rRNA from 1 species